UACGAAGGGGGCUAGCGUUGUUCAGAAUUACUGGGCGUAAAGCGCGCGCAGGCGGCUAUCCAAGUCAGUGGUGAAAGCCCGGAGCUCAACUCCGGAACUGCCAUUGAAACUGUUUAGCUUGAGGAUGAGAGAGGUGAGUGGAAUUCCCAGUGUAGAGGUGAAAUUCGUAGAUAUUGGGAAGAACACCGGUGGCGAAGGCGGGUCUCUGGGCCGGUACCGACGCUGAGGAGCGAAAGCGUGGGGAGCGAACAGG
rnacentral:rRNA from 1 species